UAGGAAUCUGCCUGGUAGUGGGGGACAACGUUUCGCAAGGAACGCUAAUACCGCAUACGUCCUACGGGAGAAAGCAGGGGACCUUCGGGCCUUGCGCUAUCAGAUGAGCCUAGGUCGGAUUAGCUUGUUGGUGAGGUAAUGGCUCACCAAGGCGACGAUCCGUAACUGGUCUGAGAGGAUGAUCAGUCACACUGGAACUGAGACACGGUCCAGACUCCUACGGGAGGCAGCAGUGGGGAAUAUUGGACAAUGGGCGAAAGCCUGAUCCAGCCAUGCCGCGUGUGUGAAGAAGGUCUUCGGAUUGUAAAGCACUUUAAGUUGGGAGGAAGGGCAGUCAGCGAAUACCUGGUUGUCUUGACGUUACCGACAGAAUAAGCACCGGCUAACUCUGUGCCAGCAGCCGCGGUAAUACAGAGGGUGCAAGCGUUAAUCGGAAUUACUGGGCGUAAAGCGCGCGUAGGUGGUUUGUUAAGUUGGAUGUGAAAGCCCCGGGCUCAACCUGGGAACUGCAUCCAAAACUGGCAAGCUAGAGUAUGGUA
rnacentral:rRNA from 1 species